ensembl:lncRNA
GCGGUACAGACAGCUGUGUUAUGUGUGUGAGUCCGACUGUUAUUUGGCGUUGCUACGUUACCUGGACUCUACAUUUGACAGUGGGGAGAAGGGCAAGGGGAACCCUCCAGAGAGGGACAAGCCACAAGGCAGAUCCCUGGCCCAGCAUUCAAGUGAGCAGGGUGCCGCUGUAUCUAUGUGGAAAUCCAGGCAGCCGGGGAAUGCGGGGGGAAUCGAGUGCGGAGCCCGUGACUCAAGCCGGGACAUGUGUGAUCCUCUGAGCGGUGAGAGGGUCAUGUGAAUCCCAGGCUGGACCGCCGCGCCCAGGGACACGGCACUCCUCCCUCCCGGCUGACGCUCAGCCCCUCCCUUCCUCAGUCCAGGCCUCGAUCUUCAGGCUUUUUCUGGGGAUACCCACUAUUUAUGUGGGCAGAGCGUUGCCAUGGCUGCUAAUAACAAACUUAACGUCUGCCGUUUCUGCAACCGCGGCCCGCGGCGGCCCGGCAGGACCAGGGACUCUGACUUCGGUUGUUGUCAUCGUUUUUGCAGCUCUGCCCGUUCUAAAAAAGUGCAUUUCACGGUCACAUGCUGUUAACUUUGUUUAUGAGUAAAUUUGCCUGCUGACUCAGGGAACAAUCCACAUGUCAUGGGAACAGAUGACUGUGUUCUGACUCCGUCACAUCUGUUCAAAUGGAUCCAGAACUUGACUCCCCUCAAAGUGUGGAGAAAAAAUGUCCCUGUCAUCAGACUAAAGUUCUACUGACAUCAGUCGAACCAAAGCAGCUUGCAUUUCAGGUACUGCACUAAAAACUGCUUUCUGCGAAAGACCAACUAAAAACACGGUGGAAAAAAGACGGCGUUCCCCGUCCCCUCGUAGGAACGUUGACGGUGGAGGAUUGCCAGAAUGCAGUAUUUAAUCACAGAUAAGACUGCACUGUACCAUGGUGACCAGGUAAAACUGACAUUGCUGCACCUUGGUGGUUGAUGAAGGGCAUUCAAGCAGAAAGCUGGAACUGUUCAUAUUUACUCACAGUGAUUGAAGUUGAAGGACCGGAUGUGAAAAGAGGUCAAACUCAAAAUACUCAUUUAAAAAGCUUUAAAUUAUGGACAGUGGAAGGACGUCACACAGCCAAGAUUUAAUUGUACAGUAACUCUAGUUUUCAUUCAUAUAUAUUUUUCUUUCUCAUAUAUGGCUCGAAGGCUACUUUGGAUACUGCAUGUGGAAGAAUGGCUUUGCCAGUGACUGAGGUGUGCAAAGUUGUGAAAAUGCAAUUAUUGAUGAAGAUCAUCGAGAAUAUUGGAGGUCUUCGUAGCUCGGCUCGAUGGCUGAGGUGUUCGGUUGUUCGCCGAGCUUGGCAUUUAAGUUACAAACGUUUCAUCGCCAGUCGAGGUGACGUCAUCAGUGCGCAAGUUCUGUGAUUUGUGUUGGAUGCUUCCUCCUUUAUAUGGACUUUGAUGGGUGGGUUUGCCUGAAGCUUGGACGUGAUUGGUUGGUUUCAUGUGACCUUGAGCACGAGCGGUUCAAUUAUUGAUCUCUAAUUCCUAAAAUGCAUGAAAAUGAAUAAAUUUAAAUAUUACAUUUAUCUGACGCUUUUC